UUUUCAACUCCUUGGUUAGAACUUUGUGCCCUAAUAAUCUAUCCAUAGUUCUUUCACAAAGCAGUAGCAGAGAACAACGUGAGCUCAUCCUCCACCGUGAGGACGAUUCAUCCGUGAGUUCAUCCUGUACCGACAUCAAGCUACAACACCACCGUGAGUUCUAGAAUCUCUGCUAUAAAUGGGGUGCAAAACUGACUCCAUCAGAGGUGGCUAAUAAAGUGAAGCACUAUGACAAGAUAAGUGGAAGAAGUCAAGGGUUUGGCUUCGUGACGAGGAGAAGUAAGCAAAGCAGGGCCUCUGGUUGAAUUUCUUGAAUGGACUUCUACAGAUUACAAAAUGGCUUCUUCCUCUAGUAACAAUAGCUACUUAAGAUUGAUACCAAGAUUUUGUGAUUGUGGGAGAACAGCUGCCAUACACAUUGUGCUUUCCAAUCAGAAUGGAAAUAAAGGGCGUGUGUACUUUGUGUGUCCAUCAAAAUAUAUUAGUGAGGAACACUGCAAUUACUUCAAGUUCGUAGAUGAUGAUGACUACGACGUGAUCUCCAAUGUUGCACCUCGUACAUCUAUAAGAAGCGAAGAAUUUAACGAUCCAAGCACAAGGGUUUAUGAGAUGGAUAAUGAAUUUCAGGAGCAUGGUAGAAGGCUUCGAAAGAUGGAGAAGAAAUUGAAUGUCGUGCUUUAUGUCAUUGUAUUUUGUAUUGUUUUAUAUUUUAUAAUGUAAACUACUGAGUUCAUAGCUUUUGGGGAAUUUG